UUUAUUUAGUUAAGGAAUCUUCGAGUAAUAGUUAAAAAAAAUCUUUCGCAUUCUAAUUCUAUAGCUAAAUCAUGUGUUGUUGCUAUAUUAUAAACUUUCGUGCAUGAGCCAUUUAAAUCCGUUUGGAUUACUUUUUAGUUGUUUCCCCUGGAAAAUUCUCUUCUUGCUAGCCUUCGCCGAGUUAUUCAACAACAUCGCUAUAUUGCUGAUUUUUGCUGUUGUUUUUUUGGUUAAAGCUGCAUGCUUUUGUUGGAUAAUGUUUAAUUUAUCAUUCACGUUUUACAUAUGAUUCUGUUUAAACCAUAUUUAAUCGAUGUUUUGGUGAAUUUCGCGCAUGCUUAACUUGCCUGAUUUCGGACGUAAUUUACUUUCGGAUACAUGCUCCUCUUGUGUUUUUUUUCGAUGUUUUCUUAUGUAUGCAGAUUAAAAAAAAACAGCUCAUGCUUAAAUGUGUUAUUGAGCAAGUGACUUCUUUAUACUAUGGCAGGAAUAAAAAAACUGUUAUAAAAUUAUAAAGGAAGUUUAGUUACAUGUAUAAACUCACAGUCACAAGUGUUAACACCUGGCGCCGUGACCUGGAUGCAGAUUCUAAGCAGAUGGGCCAAAAUGGGGGCAGCUAGAGAGACUCGCCUGGAACUGACAAGCCUGGAGGGAGCUGGUUGACUGUUGGCGAGAUGGGACAACAGACGAAGAAUAAACGAACCUACUUGAUUUGAUAAACAUUUUUAUGUUUUUCAGUUUCGUCGGAAGACAUUUCCCACCAACCAUCCUGUCUUGAAAGAAAUAACUUUUGAACCCGAUUAUCUGAUAUUUUCCAGUUUCCCCUCACAACAAUUUGCAUCAAACCUCUUGUCUGGGACAUUUGACAGAUUUCCGGGACAGCGGGACAAGUUCUUCAUUUCCGGGACUGUCCCGGAAAAUCCGGGACGUAUGGCAUGUAUGAUAUAACAGUUCAUACAGUUUAAGAAAUACAAUACAUUUUAUACAAUGUCGUUUUUAUGCCCCCGAACCAGCGAUUUUGAGGGCAUAUUAAAAUCGCUCCGUCCUUUAGUUUGUUAGUCCAUCCGUCCGUCUGUAAGUUAGUAAGUCCGUCUGUCAGUCCGUCCGGAUUAUUUUCCGUUCAAUAAGUCUAGCAAUUGUCAUCAGAUCUUCACCAAACUUCAUGAAAAUGUGUAAGGCAAUAACAUCUAGGUCAAGUUAGAUAAUGGGCCAAAUAGACCCAGACACCCCUGAGUUAUGGCCCUUGAAUCAUAGUAAAAUAGGGUUUUUAGCUCGACUAUUAUAUAUGAAAUAUAUAUAGUGGAGCUUUCCUACUCUCCCCGGGGUUCCAGUGUCCGUGAGCGUUGGAAUGAACUAUAGUGGGGGACAUAUUGUUUUCGCCCUGUCUGUUGGUCUGUCUGUUGGUUUGUUUGCUCCAACUUUAAUAUUUUGCCAUAACUUUUGCAAUAUUGAAGAAAGCAACUUCAUAUUUGGCAUGCAUGUGUAUCUCAUGGAGCUGCACAUUUUGAGUGGUGAAAGGUCAAGGUCAUCCUUCAAGGUCAAAGGUCAAAAUAUACCUAGAAAGGUGCAGAUUUGCUUCAGUUUUGUGUUUAGGUUCAUUUUAUUCCUAAAAUAUCACAGCUAUUACACUAUGCCUCCAAACAAUAUACGAAAGCUUGACCCAAACCAAGACACUCUUGAUGUUAGUAAUGGUAGGUGAACGUAAGAAUUAAAUGCUGGCAAUUCACAUGAAAUUGACAUGAGGGUUUAUUAAUUAUCCAUGGUCCUGAUCCCUUUAAUAUCUGAAAUCCCUGUUUGUGCAUAUAACAUAAUGAGAACACCCUUUGGGCGACCUAACUUUGUAUUUCAAUCAGUUUCUUGUUUUGACCAUUAUUUUUACAUUAUUAUCAAAACUUGUUAGUUUCCUACCCUUGAAAAAGGAGAGGGACUUACGGUUUGCGCUCUGUGUCUGUCAGUCUGACACUUUUCUGGAUCCUUCGAUAACUUUAAAAGUUCUUCACCCAUUUACUUCAAAUUAAUACUGAACCUCUCUUAUGACAAUACGGUCAAUCUCAACUAUGUAUGGCCCCAUUACCAACCCUGGGGUGCCCCUCCCACAUAGGCCACGCCCACCCAAAAUUGCCUUUUACUAUAAUUUCUUCAUUUCUACACCGAUUCACUUCUAAUUGAUACUGAACUUCUCUUAUGACAAUACGGUCAACUAUGCAUGGCCCCAUUACCAACCCUGGGGCGCCCCUGGGUCAAACAUGCGGCGUGGGGAUAUGCGUCGGUCUCUGCCGCGCCAUUUCUAGUCAACAUUGGAGACAUUGGCAUCUUAAAGGAAUAAAUUAUGUAUGAGCCCAAAUUUUGCAGAACUAUGGCCCUUGCUCAUUUUUGUUUAGCUCCUCAGCUGAAAUCAUCAUCUAGCAGUCACAAUAGUUGAGCGGUUGGAGAGGCAUGCAUUGCGUCCUACUACUGCUCAGACUAUAUUAUGUUUGGCAGACAAAACAUGCUGAUCAAAAAGAAUGUGUACCACAGGGGCCAGUGUUUCCAUUUGAGUGAUUGACAAGAAGAAGAAGAGAUGAGAAAUGUUAUCAUCAUAUUUUAGUCCCUACAUUUAUAGUGUACAGCUCAAUGUAUUGAACCGGUGUUGUAGAAUAUAAUUGGAGAUACAUGCGAACAUUAUAACAUUAUAUAUAAGAUGAUAUUUCAAAAGCAAUAAGAAAUAAAAAGUAUAAAAAGGUCAAAACAGUAAACCUUGUGUUUACAGUGGACAGGUUUAAAGUGGAAGUGACUAGUUAAUUGUUGAUCAUAAGCUGCACUGAUGGAAAAAAUAGUGGGAAAUUACUAUCUAGAAAACUGUUUAACGUACGACAACAGUUGUGGAACUUCAUAAAUGACCGUAUGUAACAGGGCUGGGCAGUUUUCCUUAUAUAGCUAUAGUGAAACCUUUUGAACACUAGUGAAGUCACUGUUUUUUUUCCAAUCUUCAUGCAUUUUGGUCGAAUAUUUGUUCAAAUGAUGGCUCAGUCCAGUUUCGAAAUUUUUAUGUCUAUUCAAAAAACAUAUCCACUAGAGCACGAGGCAAUUGUCUUUAUAUGGCUAUAAUGAAACCUUGUAAAUUCUCUAGAAGUGACAUUUUUAGCCAUAUCUCCAUAAAUUUUGGUCAGAAUAUUUAUUCUAAUGAUAGCUCAGUUGUCGAGUUUGUAACUGGUUCCGGUUUGUAGACUAACAUGGCUGCCAGUGGACAUGACAGUUUUUCUUAAUGUGCUAGAGUAGAACCUUGUUAACACACAAUUGGCCCUUUUUAUGUGCAUUUUUCAUGAAAGAUGAUCAGAGCAUUUGGCCCAAUGUAAUCUCAGCUGACUUUGAAACUGGAUCACAUAACGUCAAAAAGUGGGUCAAAAUGUCAAAUUAAAAAAAGCUUGUAAACACUGGAAGUUGCAUUUAAAAUUGUGUUCCUUUUUUAUGUCCCCCACUAUAGUAGUGGGGGACAUAUUGUUUUUGCCCUGUCUGUUGGUUGGUCUGUUGGUUGGUUGGUUUGCGCCAACUUUAACAUUUGCAAUAACUUUUGCAAUAUUGAAGAUAGGAACUUGAUAUUUUGCAUGCAUAUGUAUCUCAUGGAGCUGCACAUUUUGAGUGGUGAAAGGUCAAGGUCAUCCUUCAAGGUCAAAGGACAAAUAUAUGGGUCAAAAUCGCUCAUUUAAUGUACACUUUUGCAGUAUUUCAAUAUUCAAGAUAGCAACUUGAUAUUUGGCAUGCAUGUGUAUCUCAUUGAGCUGCACAAUUUGAGUGGUGAAAGGUUAAGUUCAUCCUUCAAGGUCAGAUGUCAAAUAUAUGUGUCCAAAAUCGCUCAUUUUAUUAUACUUUUGCAAUAUUGAAGAUAGCAACUUGAUAUUUGGCAUGCAUGUGUAUCUCAUGGAUCUGCACAUUUUGAGUGGUGAAAGGUCAAGGUCAUCCUUCAAGGUCAGAGGUCGAAUAUAUGUGGCCCAAAUCGCUUAUUUUAUGAAUACUUUUUCUAUAUUGAAGAUAGCAACUUGAUAUUUGGCAUGCAUGUGUAUCUCAUUGAGCUGCACAUUUUUAGUGGUGAAAGGUCAAGGUCAUCCUUCAAGGUCAAAUAUAUGGGUCAAAAUUGAUCAUGUAAUGUCACUUCUGCAAUAUUGAAGCUAGCAAUUUUAUAUUUGAAAUGCAUGUGUAUCUCAUGGAGCUGCACAUUUUGAGUGGUGAAGGGUCAAGGUCAUCCUACAAGGUCAAACGUCAUAUAGGGGGACAUUGUGUUUCACAAACACAUCUUGUUUAAAGUUUGUCAAAACAUUUGCUGUAAUGAUAAGCAAAGUCAAGUUUAUAAAUAAUAAUUUGUCUACAAAUUACAUAUUUUUCAUUAAGUUCAUUUAUUAUUCUAAACUACACCCUCUCAGAAUAGUUUAGUUACUUCUGGUCACAGUUGAGCACCUUAGGGCUCUUGUUCUAUAAUUUGAUUGUUUUGGAAAAUUGUCAUUUUGCCAAAAUGUGAGCAAGUCCAAAUUUAAUUAACCCUGCUUUGUAGUAUCUUGUUUUCCUUAUAUGUAAAAAGUGGAAAAUUAUCUAUGAAUCUGACUGCAUAGAUAUUUGGUAUUCAGCAAAGCAUCGUGUAAAUGUAGUAAAACUAAACACAAUUGUGUUAGCAUAAAACUGGCCAUGCCAUGGGGGUCAAAUGGUUAAUACAGACUUGUAGGAAAAAGACUUCUAAAAAUUUUAUCCGUUAAAUAUAUUUUGUGUACAUAAUGAUUAGCUUUUUCCUUCAACUUAUC